rnacentral:rRNA from 1 species
UACGAAGGGGGCUAGCGUUGUUCGGAAUUACUGGGCGUAAAGCGCGCGCAGGCGGCUAUCCAAGUCAGUGGUGAAAGCCCGGAGCUCAACUCCGGAACUGCCAUUGAAACUGUUUAGCUUGAGGACGAGAGAGGUGAGUGGAAUUCCCAGUGUAGAGGUGAAAUUCGUAGAUAUUGGGAAGAACACCGGUGGCGAAGGCGGCUCACUGGCUCGUAUCUGACGCUCAGGCGCGACGGCGUGGGGAUCAAACAGG